AUGGAGAAGAAAUUGAAAAAUCAACGCCUUCGCCAAAGUCUUUUCAGUUCCAAAAGGAGACGAUUGGAAUUAAAGUCCCUGAGGGCAAUGAAAAACUGCACACAAUCAAUGUUAGAAGGUGACACAUACCAGUCAAAGAUUGGUAUUGAGGAAGAUUUAGAUCUUGAGGACAUUGAUCCUACUCCAGUAACUUUACAUAGGAUGGAAAUGAAAUUAUUUUUGACUUUGAAACUACUGGUCGGGCUCGGACAUCAGAUAUUAUUCAGAUUGCAGCAGUCUCUGGAGGCGAGGAAAUGA
rnacentral:sRNA from 1 species